rnacentral:rRNA from 1 species
AGACCGGCUUACUGGUCGUGCUUUUGUACGUACUGGUAUAAUCGGUUUCUCCUUUCUGACGAACUAUAAUGCCAUUAAUUUGGUGUUAUAGGGAAUCAGGACUGUUACUUUGAAAAAAUUAGAGUGUUUAAAGCAGGCUUACGCUUGAAUACAUUAGCAUGGAAUAAUAGAAUAGGACUU